AGAAUCUUUCGCAAUGCCCGAAAGGGUGACGAAGCGACGCCGCGUGUCGGAAGAAGGCCUUCGGGUUGUAAACCACUGUCGGGAGUUAAGAAAUGUAAGGAUGUUAAUAGCGUCCUUACUUGACUAAGGCUCCGGAGGAAGCCACGGCUAACUCUGUGCCAGCAGCCGCGGUAAUACAGAGGCGGCAAGCGUUGUUCGGAAUUAUUGGGCGUAAAGAGCACGUAGGCGGCCUUGAAAGUCAGUUGUGAAAGCCUUCUGCUUAACGGAAGAACAGCAUCUGAUACUACAGGGCUUGAGUGCGGGAGGGGAGAGUGGAACUUCUGGUGGAGCGGUGAAAUGCGUAGAUAUCAGAAGGAACGCCGGCGGCGAAAGCGGCUCUCUGGCUCGUAACUGACGCUGAGUGUGCGAAAGCUAGGGGAUCAAACGGGAUUAGAUACCCCGGUAGUCCUAGCCGUAAACGAUGGGCACUAAGUAGAGGGGUUUUGAUUAUCUCUCUGCCGGAGCUAACGCAUUAAGUGCCCCGCCUGGGAAGUACGGCCGCAAGGCUAAAACUCAAAAGAAUUGACGGGGGCUCGCACAAGCGGUGGAGCAUGUGGCUUAAUUCGAUGCAACGCGAAGAACCUUACCGGGGUUUGACAUGGUAGAAGUAGGAACCAGAAACGGUAACGAACGGUAUCCAGUCCGCAACUAUCACAGGUGUUGCAUGGCUG
rnacentral:rRNA from 1 species